rnacentral:lncRNA from 1 species
UGAAGUUGCAAAGUGCUUGUAGAGCAAGAGCUCCUGAAAUUCUCUUAUAUGAAUUCGGUAGCUAGCUGCUUUUGCAAGACUGUAGAUUUAAAUUAGCUGAUUAGUUAAAAAAUAAUAUUUUGUACCAUAUAGAAGGCAAAGUCUUGCAACAUUUAUUAUUUUAAUGAAAAAUUGAUAUUUUUUUUAUUCUUCCAAGUUAGUCUCGAUGGGAGCUAUCCCCUAUCUUCAUUUAUCUUCCUUCAUUUCUUGCAAUUU